rnacentral:misc_RNA from 1 species
GGUUGCAGUUGUUGGUGGUGGAGUAAUGGGAUCUGGCAUUGCUACAGCUCUCAUUAUCAGCAACAUCAGUGUUGUAGUUAAAGAAAUUAAUCAUGAAUAUUUAUCGAAAGCUUUGAAAUCAGUAGAAGCAAAUCUGCAAGGCUUUGUAACAAGAGGAAAGCUGAAUCAGGAUAAGAUGAAAAGGACUUUGUCUCUUCUUAAAGGAACUUUAGACUAUGAGGACUUAAAAGACGUCGACAUGGUUAUUGAGGCUGUUAACGAGAAUGUAUCUCUGAAACAAUCAAUUUUUGAGGAUAUAGAGAAAGUUUGUACUUCAGAGUGCAUUUUUGCAUCAAAC